ACUCCGGUUGAUCCUGCCGGAGGCCACUGCUAUCGGGCUCCGACUAAGCCAUGCGAGUUUAGGGGCUCCUUCGGGGGCACCGGCGGACGGCUCAGUAACACGUGGACAACCUACCCUCGGGUGGGGGAUAACCUCGGGAAACUGAGGCUAAUACCCCAUAGGGGAAAGGUACUGGAAGGUCCUUUCCCUGAAAGCUCCGGCGCCCGAGGAUGGGUCUGCGGCCUAUCAGGUAGUUGGUGGUGUAAAGGACCACCAAGCCUGCGACGGGUACGGGCCCUGAGAGGGGUAGCCCGGAGAUGGACUCUGAGACACGAGUCCAGGCCCUACGGGGCGCAGCAGGCGCGAAACCUUCGCAAUGCGCGAAAGCGCGACGAGGGGAGCCCGAGUGCCCUUCCUUUUGGGAGGGCUUUUCCGGAGUCUAAAAAGCUCCGGGAAUAAGGGCUGGGCAAGACGGGUGCCAGCCGCCGCGGUAAUACCCGCAGCUCGAGUGGUGGCCACUAUUAUUGAGCCUAAAGCGUCCGUAGCCGGACCCGCAAAUCCCUGGGUAAAUCCUGGUGCUCAACAUCAGGAAUUCCGGGGAGACUGCGGGUCUUGGGACCGGGAGAGGCCGGAGGUACUCCCGGGGUAGGGGUAAAAUCCUGUAAUCCCGGGGGGACCACCUGUGGCGAAAGCGUCCGGCUUGAACGGCUCCGACGGUGAGGGACGAAGGCCAGGGGAGCAAACCGGAUUAGAUACCCGGGUAGUCCUGGCUGUAAACGCUGCCCGCUUGGUGUUGUCGGUCUCUCGGGGGCCGGCAGUGCCGGAGCGAAGGUGUUAAGCGGGCCGCUUGGGGAGUACGGCCGCAAGGCUGAAACUUAAAGGAAUUGGCGGGAGAGCACUGCAACGGGAGGAGCGUGCGGUUUAAUUGGAUUCAACGCCGGAAAACUCACCGGGGGCGACCGGCACAUGUGGGCCAGGCUGACGACCUUGCCCGAAUAAGAGCCGGAGAGGUGGUGCAUGGCCAUCGUCAGCUCGUACCGUAGGGCGUUCACUUAAGUGUGAUAACGAGCGAGACCCCCGUCCCCAGUUGCCACCUGUCCCUCCGGGGGCAGAGCACACUGGGGAGACCGCCAGCGCUAAGCUGGAGGAAGGUGGGGUCAACGGUAGGUCAGUACGCCCCGAAUCCCCCGGGCUACACGCGCGCUACAAAGGGCGGGACAAUGGGUUGCGACCCCGAAAGGGGGAGCUAAUCCUGAAACCCGUCCGUAGUUCAGAUCGAGGGCUGUAACUCGCCCUCGUGAAGCUGGAUUCCGUAGUAAUCGCGGGUCAACAUCCCGCGGUGAAUGCGCCCCUGCUCUUUGCACACACCGCCCGUCAAACCAUCCGAGUUGGCUCUAGGUGAGGCCCUGUUCUAUGGGCAGGGUCGAACCUGGGGUCAGCGAGGAGGGUUAAGUCGUAACAAGGUAUCCGUAGGGGAACCUGCGGAUGGAUCACCUCCU
rfam:Aciduliprofundum boonei T469, complete genome.